AAGGUAGCAUAAUCAUUAGUUCUUUGAUUGGGGACUGGAAUGAAUGGUUGGACGAGGGAGUAGCUGUCUUUUGACAUUGAAAUUAAUUUUAAUGUGAGGAAGCAUGAGGGACGAGAAGACCCUAUUAAGUUUGAUUAAUUUGUUGGGGCGAUGAUAGUGAUAAGGAGAUUAAAUUACUGUAGGGAUAACAGCGUGAAAUUUUUGGAGAGAUCAUAUUGAUGAAAAGUUUUGCGACCUCGAUGUUGAAUUAAACCUGCUUGGAGUAGGACUUAUAAUUUUUUACA
rnacentral:rRNA from 1 species